rnacentral:rRNA from 1 species
GAUGAACGCUGGCGGCGUGCUUAACACAUGCAAGUCGAACGAAGCAUUUGCGACAGAUUUUUUCGGAAUGAAGUUGCUUAUGACUGAGUGGCGGACGGGUGAGUAACGCGUGGGUAACCUGCCUCGUACUGGGGGAUAGCAGCUGGAAACGGCUGGUAAUAACGCAUAAGCGCACAAUGUUGCAUGACAUGGUGUGAAAAACUCCGGUGGUAUAAGAUGGACCCGCGUCUGAUUAGCUAGUUGGUGAGAUCACAGCCCACCAAGGCGACGAUCAGUAGCCGACCUGAGAGGGUGACCGGCCACAUUGGCACUGAGACACAGCCCAGACUCCUACGGGAGGCAGCAGUGGGUAAUAUUGCACAAUGGAGGAAACUCUGAUGCAGCGACGACGCGUGAGUGAAGAAGUAAUUCGUGAUGUAAAGCUCUAUCAGCAGGGAAGAUAGUGACGGUACCUGACUAAGAAGCUCCGGCUAACUACGUG